AUUGAACGCUGGCGGCAGGCCUAACACAUGCAAGUCGAACGGUAACAGGAAACAGCUUGCUGUUUCGCUGACGAGUGGCGGACGGGUGAGUAAUGUCUGGGAAACUGCCUGAUGGAGGGGGAUAACUACUGGAAACGGUAGCUAAUACCGCAUAACGUCGCAAGACCAAAGAGGGGGACCUUCGGGCCUCUUGCCAUCGGAUGUGCCCAGAUGGGAUUAGCUAGUAGGUGGGGUAACGGCUCACCUAGGCGACGAUCCCUAGCUGGUCUGAGAGGAUGACCAGCCACACUGGAACUGAGACACGGUCCAGACUCCUACGGGAGGCAGCAGUGGGGAAUAUUGCACAAUAGGCGCAAGCCUGAUGCAGCCAUGCCGCGUGUAUGAAGAAGGCCUUCGGGUUGUAAAGUACUUUCAGCGGGGAGGAAGGGAGUAAAGUUAAUACCUUUGCUCAUUGACGUUACCCGCAGAAGAAGCACCGGCUAACUCCGUG
rnacentral:rRNA from 1 species